rnacentral:lncRNA from 1 species
UGCGUAACUCUCUUCAACGCUAAUUAGGUUAGUAGAUAGUCUAAUUAGUUUUUGUCUUUGUGAUUUGGUGUUAGGAAAUGUCAUUAAUAUGAAAUAAAAUAAAAUUUGUUAAAUUAAGUAGAUAAAAGAUGGUCGAUUAAAUCUCAUUUUAUUUCAUAUGAAAAAAAUAAUUGUUUGUACAUAAGAGUGAAUAAUAAUGUAGAAAAAUUUAUAAGUCUCGAAGUAUUGAGAGGAAUUAAGGAAGCAUAUAACGAACAAAACAGAAUAAUCAAGCAGGCAAAUAAAAACGAAAAAUGCACUAAACAUAUGAAUCAAGGAAGCACAAAAGCUAGCAGUACAGUGCUAGAAAAAAAGGAAUAGAAGAAGCAAAGAUACAAGCAAUGCACUGAACAGAAGAAUCAAAUAAGCAAACAAAAUAGUGUUGACUACUUUAAAAUCUAUAGCAUUCAUAGUUUUUGUAGUUAGUUUUGGUAGAAACAGUGUCUUUAAAUCUUUUUAAUCAAAAUCAUAUAAAACUCAAUAUUGUUAAUCAGAUUAAAAAAUGAUGUUUUCUGCUAAUUGUUGUUUUAUUUAUUUAGAAUCACGACAUAGAUUAAGACAAAACGUCUAAUGACAACAGUUUUUGUUUAUAAAAAUCAAUGGACUAGUGAUUUAGGGCGAGGAGAAGGAGGAGGAGGAGGAGAUGCAAAUGAUGGCUGCCGCCAAAAAAGCACAAACAAUUUACAAUACAGAAGAAGAAUCUAAGAAGCAAAGAAACACUAAGCAGAGGAAUCAAACAAACAAGUUGGGCAAAAACAAAAGACCAAACAAUACAAAGAAAUCAAGGAAGCACAAAUCAAAGAAGCAAAGAAACAACAAGCAAAUACACAAAGCAGAGGAAUCAAAGAAGCAAAGAAACAACAAGCAAUACACAAAGCAGAGGAAUCAAAGAAGCAGCAAAAGCAAACAAGUUGAGCAAGAAAACAAACAAUGAAUAUAGCAAGUAACAAAGCAAGCAAGCAAAAGAAACAACGAAUCAAAGAAAAAAGUAUGUAAGGGAAACAACGAAUCAAAGAAGCAAGUAAGAAGAAAAAACAUAAAAAAAAAAACUUCAUGGCCUAGAACGUGAGUCUUUUGGCUUUAACCCUCAAGAACUUGAGCAUUAUCUGUUGAUUUUGGCCAGCUAAAACAAACUCGACUAUCCCAAGAUUAGAUCCACCUGCGCAAAACAAUAACUUGGGAGUAAAAUAUCCACAGAGACACGGGUUAGUGCUUAGUGGGAGAAGAUCCAAAAAAAGGUGUAGAACGAG